UAACGGCGUCGAGCGGCGGACGGGUGAGUAAUGCCUAGGAAAUUGCCCUGAUGUGGGGGAUAACCAUUGGAAACGAUGGCUAAUACCGCAUAAUGCCUACGGGCCAAAGAGGGGGACCUUCGGGCCUCUCGCGUCAGGAUAUGCCUAGGUGGGAUUAGCUAGUUGGUGAGGUAAGGGCUCACCAAGGCGACGAUCCCUAGCUGGUCUGAGAGGAUGAUCAGCCACACUGGAACUGAGACACGGUCCAGACUCCUACGGGAGGCAGCAGUGGGGAAUAUUGCACAAUGGGCGCAAGCCUGAUGCAGCCAUGCCGCGUGUGUGAAGAAGGCCUUCGGGUUGUAAAGCACUUUCAGUCGUGAGGAAGGUAGUGUAGUUAAUAGCUGCAUUAUUUGACGUUAGCGACAGAAGAAGCACCGGCUAACUCCGUGCCAGCAGCCGCGGUAAUACGGAGGGUGCGAGCGUUAAUCGGAAUUACUGGGCGUAAAGCGCAUGCAGGUGGUUUGUUAAGUCAGAUGUGAAAGCCCGGGGCUCAACCUCGGAAUUGCAUUUGAAACUGGCAGACUAGAGUACUGUAGAGGGGGGUAGAAUUUCAGGUGUAGCGGUGAAAUGCGUAGAGAUCUGAAGGAAAUACCCGGUGGGCGAAAGGCGGCCCCCCUGGACAGAUACUGACACUCAGAUGCGAAAGCGUGGGGAGCAAACUGGAUUAGAUACCC
rnacentral:rRNA from 1 species